CACUGAUUCACCAGCCAAAUCCUCUUGCCUUAAGGGAUAAUCUCUCCAAGGAAGUCAAAAGGAAAGGAAGAGGCAGACGGGGCCUGGGGCUCCCUAAGGGCUGUGAUCCCAGACUUCUACAGAACACUGCAACAUGCCACCUCUGUCUUAGCUACAUCAAGCAGAAUUUGGGCUCUAAGAAGACUGGAGUGCAUCCAUACAGAGCACAAAUCCCUUCUCCAAGAAGGAAACCACAGAGCUUAUCAAGAAAGAUCUGUGCCUCUGUGCCAGGCAGCAACAGCCCUGC
rnacentral:lncRNA from 1 species